rnacentral:rRNA from 1 species
UAGGGAAUCUUCCACAAUGGACGCAAGUCUGAUGGAGCAACGCCGCGUGAGUGAAGAAGGUUUUCGGAUCGUAAAGCUCUGUUGUUGGUGAAGAAGGAUAGAGGUAGUAACUGGCCUUUAUUUGACGGUAAUCAACCAGAAAGUCACGGCUAACUACGUGCCAGCAGCCGCGGUAAUACGUAGGUGGCAAGCGUUGUCCGGAUUUAUUGGGCGUAAAGCGAGCGCAGGCGGAAGAAUAAGUCUGAUGUGAAAGCCCUCGGCUUAACCGAAGAACUGCAUCGGAAACUGUUUUUCUUGAGUGCAGAAGAGGAGAGUGGAAUUCCAUGUGUAGCGGUAGAAUGCGUAGAUAUAUGGAAGAACACCAGUGGCGAAGGCGACUCUCUAGUCUGCAACUGACGCUGAGGCUCGAAAGCAUGGGUAGCGAACAGG